AUUGAACGCUGGCGGCAGGCCUAACACAUGCAAGUCGAGCGGAUGAAGGGAGCUUGCUCCUGGAUUCAGCGGCGGACGGGUGAGUAAUGCCUAGGAAUCUGCCUGGUAGUGGGGGAUAACGUCCGGAAACGGGCGCUAAUACCGCAUACGUCCUGCGGGAGCAAGUGGGGGAUCUUCGGACCUCACGCUAUCAGAUGAGCCUAGGUCGGAUUAGCUAGUUGGUGGGGUAAAGGCCUACCAAGGCGACGAUCCGUAACUGGUCUGAGAGGAUGGUCAGUCACACUGGAAGGGAGCCAGGGUCCAGACUCCUACGAGAGGCAGCAGUGGGGAAUAUUGGACAAUGGGCGAAAGCAUGGUCCAGCCAUGGCGAGUGUGUGAAGAAGGUCUUCGGAUUGGAAAGCAGUUUAAGUUGGGAGGAAGGGCAGUAAGUUAAUACCUUGCUGUUUUGACGUUACCAACAGAAUAAGCACCGGCUAACUUCGUG
rnacentral:rRNA from 1 species